rnacentral:misc_RNA from 1 species
UUUUAUUUUAUACUUUAAACCUUGAAUUUAUUUUUUAAACGUUUAUAUUAUUUGAAUGUUUUAUUCAAAUAAUAUAAAAAAUAAUAUAUAUAUUGACAUGGAUUAAACAAAGAUAUAUAUUAUUCUAUGUUGUAUGAACAAAUUGGCAAAAUAGAGAUGGAAGAUAAAAAUA